rnacentral:rRNA from 1 species
AUUGAACGCUGGCGGCAGGCCUAACACAUGCAAGUCGAACGACUGGCGGACGGGUGAGUAAUGUCUGGGAAACUGCCCGAUGGAGGGGGAUAACUACUGGAAACGGUAGCUAAUCCCGCAUAACAUCAGAUGUGCCCAGUUGGGAUUAGCUUGUUGGUGGGGUAACGGCUCACCAAGGCGACGAUCCCUAGCUGGUCUGAGAGGAUGACCAGUAACACUGGAACGGAGACACGGACCAGACUCCGACGGGAGGCAGCAGUGAGGAAUAUUGGACAAUGGGCGGAAGGCUGAUGCGGCCAUUCGGCGUAUAUGAAGAAGGGCUUCGGGUUGUAAAGUACGUUCAGCGGGGAGGCGGUACCAGAAGAAGAAGCACCGGCUAACUCCGUGCCAGCAGCCGCGGUAAUAC